UACGGUCAUUUUUCAGAUGUGAGUGCUGUUCCAAAACGAGUACUCCGUGGUGCACUUACCGGAAAUUACGAUCACGACUGCCGCCUCGGCUCCUCCCCCGCAAUAAACAUCCCGCUUUGAACGGUGAACUCUUUACGCCUAGCAGCUAUAAAAAGCUAUAGAAUCUAUAAAAACUACAAAAUGACUCUAUUAAUGCAGGCUAUGUGGAAUAUGCGCCGACUUUGUCUCAGCCUGGCUCCGCCUCUUCCGCUACGUAGCUAAGAUGGCUGCCGUUGAGUACGGAGAGUGUCCUUCGAUCCACACUUCACGAUUAGCCCAUUUUGAGUACGGCAUCCGGGUCCUUGAAGUAUACUUAUUUUCGCCGGAUCUGAAUUGGAACGUACUGCGUACUCACAUUUUGAGGACACAGUACGGACAGUACGGGUAUUGGAACACGGCACAUGGGCAGAGAAUGUCUAAUAUGAGGAGAACUGGCACUCGCGGGUUAUUUCCGGGUUUCUGGACUGGUUGCCGUAAUAAUCUUUGACCACGCGGGGCGCUCGUAGGCGAGUCCAGAAUGAAUGGGAGCCAACGGGGUUUUAUCCUCAGAAUCCACUUUUCUCACGAUGUAAUUUUUUGUCAAGUAAUUUUAAAGUUGCUAUCAAAGGGUGGGGCUAAGAUAAUAAACUCAGCUGAAUAUUGCAUUUUUUAAGGUCACGUAUCUGUUCUAAAAAGGCGUUAAAAACAUGCGAUGACGUCACACACUGUAAUACUGUCAGAGGUACUGCUUUACGGCAGUUUCUAAAGCACUUCCCUUGUCCCGCAACGAUAACACCAGCUGUUGGAGUCGGACCUUGAUGCUGUGACAACGGACAAGUCUUCUUCCUCUGUCCUUUUCCCCUGCCUCUGUUCAGUAUGUUCAGUGUUGUUAAAUCAUCUUUUUUUUUAUUAGUUACUGUUGUUAUUGUGUUCUUGUUAGUGUGAUUUUUGAAUAAACUUGCCUGUUGCAAUGUUGGUAUAAUGUUUGUAUAAUUACUGUUAUACAACUGUUACUGUUUCAAUGUGACCCAGACCAUAUUUCUCAUUUAACAAACAUGUGUAGCUUAUAAUGUGUUGCAUGGCAGAGCAAUUACGGUAUAU